GACGAACGCUGGCGGCGUGCUUAACACAUGCAAGUCGAACGGUAAGGCUCCAGCUUGCUGGGGUACACGAGUGGCGAACGGGUGAGUAACACGUGGGUGACCUGCCCUGCACUUCGGGAUAAGCCUUGGAAACUGGGUCUAAUACCGGAUAGGACCGCACCGUGAGGGUGUGGUGGAAAGUUUUUUCGGUGUGGGAUGGGCCCGCGGCCUAUCAGCUUGUUGGUGGGGUAAUGGCCUACCAAGGCGGCGACGGGUAGCCGGCCUGAGAGGGUGGACGGCCACAUUGGGACUGAGACACGGCCCAGACUCCUACGGGAGGCAGCAGUGGGGAAUAUUGCACAAUGGGCGGAAGCCUGAUGCAGCGACGCCGCGUGGGGGAUGACGGCCUUCGGGUUGUAAACUCCUUUCACCAUCGACGAAGGGUUUCUGACGGUAGAUGGAGAAGAAGCACCGGCUAACUACGUG
rnacentral:rRNA from 1 species